CAAACCAAGAACUUCUGAUUACUGUCCUGACACCUUAUCAGUUAGACUACCAAGACAUCAGCAGAUUUCCAAUUUCAGAAUAUAUUUAAUUUAGAAUUAUCGGACCUGCUGCAAUCGGCCAGGUCCGAUAAUUCAGAUAAUUGGGAGUAAUUAUAUUUUUUGUGCGUAUAAAUCAUUAAAAAAAAUUAAUUAUCACUAAAUUCUUGCUUUAAUUUUUAAUUACUCUCAUUAUCUCAUUAUUAAUCAUCAAAAUUAUCCUUUUAAUUUUUUAUAAGCCUUCCGAUAAUUCUAAAUUAUCGGACCUGGCUAAAUUCUAAUUCUAAAUUAUCGGACCUGUUCGGCUUAUGCUUGCUUAUUUGAUGCUAAGCAGUCUGCCCAGCAAAUACGAGGACUUAUAACAAUAUUAGCUAACCUCGAUGAUGACCAUUUUAUCUUUACUGAAGUUAAGAAGGUUUUGCUAACCAAGUAUGAUAGACGGGACGAGAAGAGCCAUGAGAAGGCCUUCGAGACCAGUAGGGAGGCAUAUAAUAUUCAAGCAAAGCAGAAUGGGACGAGUCAUCGGGCAGCUCAUAACUCUCAGAAGCAACAAUGAAAUCAUGUCACGUGUUUUAAAUGUGGAAAAGAGGACCACUAUGCAUGAGAUUGUGAUGAUAAUGCCAACUGUCAUAAAAUGACAAAUCAACAGGAGAAACCUGGUCCAAACCAGAGUAUUAAUUCUGAAAAGAAUAUUUUCUUGCUCAUCUUGAGUGAUCAUUCCUUACACAGCAUUGUUAAGCAGUAACAGAGCUAAACAGCAUGUUUGUAGGUUCAGGGAAUGGUUUGUCAAUUACUGUGAGAUUCUGCCAGAGAAAAUCCUGUCACCAAAUGAAAAGGAACAGGAGAACACACUACAAGCUGUAAGAAUAGGUGAUAUCCAUAUGCGUCUCCUAUGUUGGCCAUAAGACAAAUGAUGUUGUUUUUCAAGAUGUUCUAUACAUACCUAACUGCCGGAAUAACUUGCUAUCGACCUCUAAAGUAGAAGACAAAGGAAAGAGUGUGUUUAUUACACAUGGUGUUGCAUACUUCAAAGACAUCGCUUCUGGUGAAGUAAUUGGCAAAGUGCAUCGCAAGAACGGAUUGUAUGUAAUGUGUGGCAAAGUUAUUCCUCCUGGACAAACUCCAGACAGUCGUCUAAUUUCUAACAACAUAAAUUCAUUGCAUUCAG
rnacentral:lncRNA from 1 species